GUGAGGAAUAUUGCGCAAUGGGCGAAAGCCUGACGCAGCAACGCCGCGUGGGCGAUGAAGGCCUUCGGGUUGUAAAGCCCUUUUCUGAGGGACGAGGAAGGACGGUACCUCAGGAAUAAGCCUCGGCUAACUACGUGCCAGCAGCCGCGGUAAAACGUAGGAGGCAAGCGUUAUUCGGAUUUACUGGGCGUAAAGCGCGUGCAGGCGGUUUCGCAAGUCGGACGUUAAAUCUCCUGGCUUAACUAGGAGGGGUCGUUCGAAACUGCGGGACUUGAGGUCGGGAGAGGGAAGCGGAAUUCCCGGUGUAGUGGUGGAAUGCGUAGAUAUCGGGAGGAACACCUGUGGCGAAAGCGGCUUCCUGGCCCACACCUGACGCUAAGACGCGAAAGCGUGGGGAGCGAACGGGAUUAGAAACCCCAGUAGUCC
rnacentral:rRNA from 1 species